AGCAGCCGCGGUAAUUCCAGCUCCAAUAGCGUAUAUUAAAGUUGUUGCAGUUAAAAAGCUCGUAGUUGAAUUUCGGGGUUAGUAUGUUGGUCAUGCCUCUGGUAUGUACUGAUCUCACUGAUUCCUCCUUCCUUAUGAACCGUAAUGCCAUUAAUUUGGUGUUGCGGGGAAUUUGGACUGUUACUUUGAAAAAAUUAGAGUGUUUAAAGCAGGCUAACGCUUGAAUACAUUAGCAUGGAAUAAUGAAAUAGGACGUUCGAUCUUAUUUUGUUGGUUUCUAGGAUUGACGUAAUGAUUAAUAGGGAUAGUUGGGGGCAUUAGUAUUCAAUUGUCAGAGGUGAAAUUCUUGGAUUUAUUGAAGACUAACUACUGCGAAAGCAUUUGCCAAGGAUGUUUUCAUUAAUCAAGAACGAAAGUUAGGGGAUCGAAGACGAUCAGAUACCGUCGUAGUCUUAACCAUAAACUAUGCCGACUAGGGAUCGGAUGAUGUUAAUUUUUUAAUGACUCA
rnacentral:rRNA from 1 species